CUAUCUUGCUUCACUAUUGGCCAACAGUGCUUUAUUGUCAUAUGCACAGGACUUCCCCAACAGGUCUUGUGCACACAGUCACGGCUGCUGUGGGUUCAUGUGUGCAGUGGUCCUGUUGCAGCCAGCAAAUCAUGCUUUACUGCAGAUGUCCACUAUCUCAGGCUCUCACAAUCUUUCUCUCCUCCUUUCCUUUAUGAUCCCUGAGUCUUGAGGGGAUAGAGGUGUUGUAAAACUGUCCUAUGUCCCCAUAACAGGGCACUCCACAGUCUCUUAAUUAAUUGUGGGUCUCUGUAUUUAUUGUCAAUGCUGUAAAAAGAAGUGUCUCUGGUAAGGGAUGGAGGCACACUAUCUGUGAGUAUAAAUAUAGGAACUUGGGGGGGGCAGUUUAUCACUGUAUCCAUAGAGUAUAAUAAUGAUAUUAGGUUCUUCCCUAAAACUUAGGACCUAGCAAGUCAUGAAUUUUGGCCCAGUUAAUGUACCAAAUCUUAUGGAGGGGAGCUUUAAAUUCAAUAGAAAAAUCUUGAACCAGCUUUGCACUCCUGCAGUAUCUCUUACUUGAUCAGUGCAUUGAGCAAUAAAUGUAUAUGUAUAUAUAUGUAUAUGUAUAUGUAUAUGUAUGUAUAAUCAGAAGAGGGUGUUGAAUCCCCUGGAGCUAGAAUUGCAGUAGUUAUGAGUCACCCAGACCCUGGAAACCAAACUCAGGUCCUCUGUAUAGGCUAUAUUUACUCUAAACCUUCCCCCAGUAUUUUUUUUAACUUUUUCUUGUAUCAGGGUAAUGUUAGCUUCAUAUAUUGAAUUGUUUUCUCCUAUUUGUUUUCUGUUUAAGACUGUAUAGAAUUGUCAUUGAUCCAUAGUUCAAUUUUUAGUAGAAUUUUUGAGUAUGAAAUUACGAAUUUAGCUUCCUUAAUAUGUAUGGACUGUUCAAACAAUCUAGUUCAUACUGGGUGAAUUGUAGCGAGCCUCUGGCUUUAUUUUCUGUUCAGAUGGUUUGUGGAGUUCAAGCCGACAGAUUUAUGUAGAGUUAUUCAUGGUGUGCCUUCAGGAUCCCUCUGAGGUCUUUAGGAUCUGUAAUUUCAUGAAUGGUAUUGAUUUUUGCCUUCCCUUUCUUCCCCUUUGUGGGUAUGGCUAAAUUUGUCAGUGUUGUUUGUCUCACCCAUUUGUGUCACUGAUUUUCUUUAUUGUUUAGUAUUUUCAACAACAAGAACUUCUAGUCUCAUCUUUAUUGUUUUUUUUCCUUGCUUUAAUUUCUCUCUUCUUUUUAGGUUCUUUAGGUAGGAAUUAAUUUUUUUGUUUGACACAUUUCUUAGCACUACUGUGUACCCAAGUCCUACAAAUUUUUAUGUGUUGUAUUUUCAUUUUCUUUGAUUAUUUUUUAAGUUUCUCUUAAGAUUUUCUCUGUGACUUGUGUGUUUAAAUUUUGUAAAUCUGUGUGUGUAUAGAGGGGGGAGAGAUGAAUUACUGGUUUUUUGGCUUGACUUUGCUGUGGUUGGAUCAUACACUUUCUAUGAUUUUUACUCUUUGGAAUUUGUUGAAUUUAUCUUAUGGUUCAAGAUACAAUCUGUUUUGAUUUGUGUUUCAUUAGCACUUUAAACUAUCCUCUCUGCUGCUUGUGGGUGUUCUUUUGUAGAUUGUUCUAUGAAUUAUUGGGAGAGGGACUGAAGUCUUCAACUGUAACUGGGCUGGUCUACUUCUUUCUGUUCUAUAGUUUUACUUAUUUAUUUUUAUUGUGUGUGUAUGUGUGGGGGAGGGGAUACUCGUGUCGUAGCAUAUGUGUUGAGUCAGAGGAGAACUUGGGGAAGUUGGUUCUAUUUCUUCCAUUGUUCUGGGGGCCCUGGGGUUGAACUUAGAUGGCCAGGCUUGUGCAGCAAGUUCCUUUACCUACUGAGCUAAAUUGCCAGCUCCAUCAGUUGUGUGUGGCAACUCUGUUGUAUGGUAUAAGCACAUUCGGAGAAGCUGAAUGGUUGCGGCCUGCUGUUUGGUAUUUUAAAUCCAAGAUGGAAAUUCCUUUCUAUUGGUAUCUUUAGACUAUUUACAUUUAGUGUAAUUAUGGCUGUGUUAGGAUGUAUGUGUUGGGAUGUAUGCAUGCUAUUUUCCUUUCUGCAUUGUUUGUUGUAUUUGUAUUUCUCACAGUGUGCUUGAACAUUUUUUAUAAUUCCAUUUUUGCUUCUUUUCAAUCAACCAAGUAAAUGUAAAUUCAGGGUAAGAAUAUGAAUUACAUGUUAGCAUUUGCAUUUUCUCACAGGUGAAUUUUCCUCUGUGGUCUGCUCAGCACCUUAAAGUGCUUUGGGUAUAGAGCAGGAAAUGUGGUGGCUCAUUUGGUGACAAGAAGUUUUCAGAGAAGUGGAGAGAGUCUUUAAGUAGUCUUCCCCUGGGGAGGUCUCUGCUCCCUACACGCUCAGAUCUGCACAGCCUGCUGUCCUCGGGGCACUGAUGGUUUGCACACUUCAUUGUUGGUCAGGGUCCACUUUGCUUUGUGUUUUAGGAUUUAGAUUUUCUUGCAGCUUUGUUUUGAACAGGAAUUGGUUUUGAUGACUUUGUCCCCCAAAUUCCUAGAAGUAGGAGAUUCAGAUCCAUUGCUUUGCUUCUCCCUCAGGAUAGAGCUGAGAAUUUUGUUUGGUGUUGUUUAUUUUUAUAAAAUACCGAGGAAACAUGAGAUUUGAGUGAGGCUGGAAAAAAAAAGAGAACACAGAAGACCUGAUCUGAGACACCCACUGAUCUGGAUUUUACUGUAGGCAGUGGGGGCUCAGCUGCGCCAAGGACCCUCAGCAGCCAUGGAGACGGAUUUGGACUUGUCCCGCUGUGGGACCUGGAGGAGCAGGUUGAUCAGAAUUGCUCCUGGUGUGUGAACCCCCUUGCACUAGCACUCCAGGUGUGUGAACCCUUGCACUAGCACUCCAGAUGUGUGAACCCCUUCACUAGCACUCCAGGUGUGUGAACCCUUGCACUAGCACUCCAGAUGUGUGAACCCCUUCACUAGCACUCCAGGUGUGUGAACCCCUUCACUAGCACUCCAGGUGUGUGAACCCUUCACUAGCACUCCAGAUGUGUGAACCCCUUCACUAGCACCCCAGGUAUGUGAACCCCUUCACUAGCACUCCAGGUAUGUGAACCCCUUCACUAGCACCCCAGGUGUGUGAACCCCUUCACUAGCACCCCAGGUGUGUGAACCCCUUCACUAGCACUCCAGGUGUGUGAACCCCUUCACUAGCACCCCAGGUGUGUGAAUCCCUUCACUAGCACUCCAGGUAUGUGAACCCCUUCACUAGCACCCCAGGUGUGUGAACCCCUUCACUAGCACCCCAGGUGUGUGAACCCCUUCACUAGCACUCAGGUGUGUGAACCCCUUCACUAGCACUCCAGGUGUGUGAACCCUUCACUAGCAUUCCAGAUGUGUGAACACCUUGCACUAGUACUCCAGGUGUGUGAACCCCUUCACUAGCACUCCAGGUGUGUGAACCCUUCACUAGCACUCCAGGUAUGUGAACCCCUUCACUAGCACCCCAGGUGUGUGAACCCCUUCACUAGCACGCCAGGUGUGUGAACCCCUUCACUAGCACUCCAGGUGUGUGAACACCUUGCACUAGUACUCCAGGUGUGUGAACCCCUUCACUAGCACUCAGGUGUGUGAACCCCUUCACUAGCACUCCAGGUGUGUGAACCCUUCACUAGCAUUCCAGAUGUGUGAACACCUUGCACUAGUACUCCAGGUGUGUGAACCCCUUCACUAGCACUCAGGUAUGUGAACCCCUUCACUAGCACUCCAGGUGUGUGAACCCCUUCACUAGCACUCCAGGUGUGUGAACCCCUUCACUAGCACUCCAGGUGUGUGAACCCUUCACUAGCAUUCCAGAUGUGUGAACACCUUGCACUAGUACUCCAGGUGUGUGAACCCCUUCACUAGCACUCAGGUGUGUGAACCCCUUGCACUAGCACUCCAGAUGUGUCAGAAUGGAUGAGCGUCUCAUAACUAGGAAGCCCUGGGUGGAGAAUGAGUGAUCCUGACAGUCAGGACACACUUACACUCAGCAACUGAAGCAAGAGUGGCUCAAGAGACUGACAGUGGUUCUCCGUUGCUGUGGCUUGAAGCUUCCUGUGUUAAGACUGAAUCCCCAAAGUUACGCAUUAAUACUGUCUGCGGGUAGCAGGAGGGUAUGCCCCCGUGGAAGCAUUACUGGCUUCCUGAAAAGAGGAAGAGAGAGCUAACCAGCACAUUUGCUGUCUCACCAUGCACCAACUCUGCCUGCCUACCCCAGAAGCUGAGUAGGACUUGGACUUCCUAGCCUCCAGAAUCACAAGCCAAAUGAGCUUUUCUUCUCUAUAAAUGACCUCGUUACAGGUAUUUUGUUAUAGCUGCAGAACAUGGACUAAGACCAUCCCACGUACUUUAGGAUGCUCCAUUAAGACCAGCAAGGACCAGGGGCCUCUCCCUACCUGCCCUGGGUGAUGAGCUCAUCUCUCCUCUCUGCAUUGCUCUUCGGCCAGCCUACUUCUCUGCUUCCUCAUGGAAUCUGUUCUCUCAUCUCUUGCUUAGGGGUCACAUGCCACCGCCUCCCCCACCCCUGCCGCUGACUCCGGAAUCACAUCCUUUUGGCUUCAGUUCUUGCAGCCAACAAGAGCAGCCUCUGUUCCCCCAAGCCCCUAGAGGACCCUGCUUGGCCCAGCUCAUCCUUUUGAUAGAGGCCACCCAUGCCUGGGCUCUUGGCAGCUAAGUGGCUAUCCAGAGUUCCCCUCCCUCCAAUCAGCAGAGUGGGAGCAGCAGAGAUGGCUGUGUGGAGACUGUCCACACAGAGAAGGAAGACAUGGGGACAGAGAGAGGUCUUCUAAUCCCCCCUCACCUUGAGAAUUCCUCAAAGUGGACAGUGGGAGGAUUGGGUCUGGAGGUCAGCGGGACUGUCCAACUAGUAGAAAUUCGCAAUUCCUUCCAACUCCUUAGCCUUGUCUGCUUUUGUUUAAUCUGUGAAUUGCUGGGUCAGUUCCAAUAUGAUAAAGAGUCACAUUUGUUAAUCUUGGCAUCCUAACAACGAUUUUAAAAUCCGAACAAAGCGGAGGGAGCAGCCGUUUUAAAGUUGUAAGGCCAAGCAGGGAACGUCUGUAAGGCGAAGCAUGGAGCAGAGCCACUCUGGGCUGUGUGAAUCUUUCACCCAACCAUGGAGGAAGGUGGGGAAUCUUCCAUCCGUUUGAACAAGAAAAGGUAAGCAACUUGCACCAGCACGAGCUGCUCUUAUGCCCAGGCCCUGUCUGGAGCAUCCUGCCCCCACAGGCAGAAUGCACACAGCACAGGUGCUCUGGCCUUAUUUUCGUCAGGUCGAUAUGAAGCUAGAGUCCUUCCCACUCGACCACCUGGGUUGCAUGGAGUCCACAGGGACCAUGUAGCUCAGCGGUGGGUGCUAGCCUUAUCAGGAUUUCUUCUCACCUCUGGACAUCUGCGUAGCCCCGAGCACUGGCAGCAAACAUUCAGAGGUUCAUUUCAAACUCGGCCCCUCCUUGUCCACUCACUUUUGAAACAGCCCUGUGGGUUGGCUUUUGGUGUUCACCAUCCCUUCCUCACAGAUAUCGGUUCUGUUUCCUUGUGCCGUGGAUCUCAUCAGACCACAAAGCCAUCUCUGCUCAUUCUUUGGAGGGAUGCACGGAGGCCUUGCCAGAGCCUAGAGAGUGUGCGUGACCCCAGGACCACAACCAUCUGUGUUCUAAGAACAUUCCACCCGGCUGCCCUUUCUGCUUUCUUCAGAGUCAUCGUCAAGGUUCCCGUUUGGCCGUGGCCUCUCAAGAUGUCAACGUGUCAAGAGCGUUUUCUGUGCUGCUCCUUGUACUGUGUCAGCCUGGCCAUGUUUAGCACUCUCCUGACGUCUGUUCUCAGUGGAAGUGUCGAAUACGCAUUUGUUAAAAUGUUCUGUGUUGUAAGCUGAGAUCCAGCUCAGAGAAGACGAGGAGCAGGAAUUCAGGAGGAACUUUAUCCAGCAGCAAUGGCAGGGUUGACAUUGACGGCCUCUGGGUGUCAUGUUCUUCCAGUGUCACUGGCGGCUGCAUGUGCUGCUCCCAGCCGCUAUUUAGAGGGGGAAACCCUGCACCAGCUCUGCCACCCAAUGCCAAAGAAGUGGAGCCAUCCCCAGCAGGAGCCCCAAGGCUCCCUACAACUCCUUCUCCUCCCUUCCACCAGAGCUUCAAGAAUCACGGCCGCCACAGGUUGCUCAGACGGGAAAGCCAUGGCCAGCAUGAAGGCUUGCACACGAGAGUCCUCAGUACUCACAAAAGUCGGGUUGAGGUGGUGCAAGUCCACACCCAGCACCCAGGCCUGGGGAGGCAGAGACAGGCAGAUCUUUGUGGCAAGCCAGCUUCGCUGAAUUGAUGAGGUUCUUAAAAACUAAGGCAGUGGCGAUGGCUCAUGGGAAAGGCGAUUGUCUUCAUGUUUGAUGACCUGAGCUUAACACUACUUGAUGGAAGGAAAGAACCGCCUCCUGCAGGCCUCCACAUGUGUGCCAUGGUACACAAGUAGUAAAUGUAAUUAAAAAUACGCCCUCACGUGGGCCACGUCUCUAGACACAACAGCAAUGGAGGCAGCCGGCCACAAACUAAGACUGCUGAAACCGUAAGCCAAGAGUGACAAGAAGUUCGCUUCUGCAACCCACUGGGCUUUCUGACGUAGAGAUGAGAACGGCAACGACAGGACUGUGCGGGCCUCUUUAUUGUUCCUGGGUGUGGGACAUUACACACAGCGCGUGGCAGUCACUUAGCUGGUAAAAUAUCUCAAUAAAUAAACAAAUAAGCAACAUAUACACUGAACAGGGAAUAUAAAAGAAUGGCUAGCUGAGCAGGCCAUGAAGAAAUAAAGAGCAGGAGUGUGCCA